GUGGGGAAUAUUGCGCAAUGGGCGAAAGCCUGACGCAGCGACGCCGCGUGAGGGAUGAAGGUUUUCGGAUCGUAAACCUCUGUCAGAAGGGAAGAAACUACAUUGUGCUAAUCAGCAGUGUACUGACGGUACCUUCAAAGGAAGCACCGGCUAACUCCGUGCCAGCAGCCGCGGUAAUACGGAGGGUGCAAGCGUUAAUCGGAAUUACUGGGCGUAAAGCGCACGUAGGCUGUAGUGUAAGUCAGGGGUGAAAUCCCACGGCUCAACCGUGGAACUGCCUUUGAUACUGCACAACUUGAAUCCGGGAGAGGGUGGCGGAAUUCCAGGUGUAGGAGUGAAAUCCGUAGAUAUCCGGAGGAACACCGGUGGCGAAGGCGGCCACCUGGACAGGUACUGACGCUGAGGCGCGAAAGCGUGGGGAGCAAACAGGAUUAGAUACCCGAGUAGUCC
rnacentral:rRNA from 1 species